AUUGAACGCUGGCGGCAUGCUUUACACAUGCAAGUCGAACGGUAACAGGUCUUCGGAUGCUGACGAGUGGCGAACGGGUGAGUAACACAUCGGAACGUGCCUAGUAGUGGGGGAUAACUACUCGAAAGAGUAGCUAAUACCGCAUACGACCUACGGGUGAAAGCGGAGGACCUUCGGGCUUCGCGCGAUAAGAUGAGCCGAUGUCGGAUUAGCUAGUUGGCGGGGUAAAGGCCCACCAAGGCGACGAUCCGUAGCUGGUCUGAGAGGAUGAUCAGCCACACUGGAACUGAGACACGGUCCAGACUCCUACGGGAGGCAGCAGUGGGGAAUAUUGGACAAUGGGCGCAAGCCUGAUCCAGCCAUGCCGCGUGGGUGAAGAAGGCCUUCGGGUUGUAAAGCCCUUUUGUCCGGAAAGAAAAGCUUCGGGCUAAUACCCCGGGGUCCUGACGGUACCGGAAGAAUAAGCACCUGCUAACUUCGUGCCAGCAGCCGCGGUAAUACGAAGGGUCCAAGCGUUACUCGGAAUUACUGGGCGUAAAGCGUGCGUAGGUGGUUUGUUAAGUCUGAUGUGAAAGCCCUGGGCUCAACCUGGGAAUUGCAUUGGAUACUGGCAGGCUAGAGUGCGGUAGAGGAUGGCGGAAUUCCCNGUGUAGCAGUGAAAUGCGUAGAGAUCGGGAGGAACAUCUGUGGCGAAGGCGGCCAUCUGGACCAGCACUGACACUGAGGCACGAAAGCGUGGGGAGCANACAGAUUAGAUACCCUGGUAGUCCACGCCCUNAACGAUGCGAACUGGGUGUUGGGAGCAAUUAGNUCUCANUAUCGAAGCUAACGCGUUAAGUUCGCCGCCUGGNGAGUANGGUCGCAGAC
rnacentral:rRNA from 1 species